AUGUCAAGCCGGCCCGCCCGCCGCCGCUCGUCGGCGUCGGCCACGGCGGAGACCGCCGGCGCUAGGGCUGCCAAGGCAGCGUCGCUGGAAAACAAGCGGGCCGCCCUGGGAAAUCUCACCAACGUUGCCGGCGGGAGGACCGGCGGGGCCGAUGCGAAAUCGAGUUCAUCCAACUCAGUAGCCUAUGUGAAGAAGGGGAGUUCUGCUGGCCUUCCCAACGUGAAUAGGAAAGUGGCUUCUGCCACAAAACCAACUUUAGACCGGUUUGAGCGAGCAAUAUCGCACCAUGGCAAUGCCCUUCAGAAGGAGAACGUUUGUUGCCCAUCUGUGCCUACGUUGGCACCCCAUGGCAGUUGGCCCGGCCUGUCUCAUGAUUCUGUUUCUAUGGAGGACGAUAUGCUAACAUGCAAUUCAGUGGAAAGCCCUGGUCCUCUAUUCCUUGACAAUGCAGCUUCUUCAGUGGCAACUUCCUUGCGCCGUUGUGCGAAUGAUAAACUUCCUGUAUCUGACAAUAGGGAUACCACAGUAUCUAGAUGGAGAAAACAUUGUCCUACCCCAAUCGAAAAUGACGAUAUCUUUGAGAUUGAAACGCACUGCAAGGAUCCAGAAUUGUGUUCAACUCUUACUUGUGACAUUUACAAGCACUUGCGUGAAGCUGAGACCAAGAAAAGGCCUUCACCAGAUUUUCUGGAAACCACACAGAAGGAUAUUGACGCAAGCAUGAGGGCAGUACUUAUAGACUGGCUUGUGGAAGUCACAGAAGAAUAUCGUCUUGUUCCUGAAACCUUAUACCUCACAGUCAGUUAUAUUGAUCGGUAUCUUUCUAGCAAAGAGAUCAAUCGAGAUAAGCUGCAGUUACUUGGUGUCGCCUGCUUGCUUAUAGCCGCUAAGUAUGAAGAGAUAUGUCCACCCCAAGUAGAAGAGCUCUGCUAUAUUACCGACAAUACAUACAUAAAGGAUGAGGUUCUGCAAAUGGAAGCUUCUAUCCUGGGUUGCUUGAAGUUUGAGAUGACUGCACCUACAGAAAAAUGUUUUUUGAGAUUUCUGCAUGCUGCUCAAGUAUGUCAUGAGGUAAUUGCUUCUCUUCAAUUAUUUACAGUUACAGUCAGUCCUGUGUGCAAUGUGGUCUUCCAGCUUACUCAACCUAUUCUCCUGCAGGGCCCAGCUUUGCAUCUUGAGUUCCUAGCUAGCUACAUUACUGAGUUGUCACUUCUGGAGUACAGCUUACUUUGCCAUGUACCUUCACUGAUAGCUGCCUCUUCAAUUUUCUUGGCGAAUUUUAUCCUUAAGCCAACAAAGAAUCCUUGGAAUACCACUCUUUCCUAUCACACACAAUACAAACCAUCCACAUUACGCGAUUGUGUAAAGGUACUACACCGGCUUUUCUGUUUUGGCCUUGGAAGCAACCUCCCUGCAAUUAGAGAAAAGUACAGCCAACACAAGCGAAGAAGUACUGCCCGCCGUCGAUUCCAGCCGACUUCUUCCAAGAUGCUAGCAGUUAGAACUUGGAACACCAGAUCAGGUUCGGUUACUCAUUCAAGUCUUCCGGUGGCUGGUGGCCCGAAGUUGCUAGGCUGA
rnacentral:rRNA from 1 species